GUUAGCAGCAGCAAGGAAUUUCUCUUAGAUAAAUUAUCUCAUUAAAUGUCUGACGUGGAAAUUAACUACUUUCCUUGCCUACUGCAGGAGACGCUGAUUCUUCCAGGCCUACAAAAGGACCUGGGCCCAAUGCCAUUUGUGGCCUUCGGUGGCUUUGCCUCAUCAUUCACGUUGGCGACAACGUUUCUGGAUCACCUCCCCUUUUCUAGAGACAUGACACAAAAUCACAACAGAUCAUGAUUUAGUGGAACUGAAAUCACAUAAAAGAUGUGCCGCUAGAGGUUCCUAGAUAGGCAUUAUCUCAGGUUAAAAUAAAG
rnacentral:lncRNA from 11 species